rnacentral:tRNA from 1 species
GGGAUAGAGCAGUUGGUAGCUCGUCGGGCUCAUAACCCGGAGGUCGUUGGUUCAAAUCCUUCUCCC